AACCUCCUUUUUCUCCCCUAGAAGGUAGCGCUGUAGCUCAAGACUGUAGUUUCUCCCUUGUGCUCAGACCCUGGCUUGUCUUCUGUGCAUCCUGUUUAUCCAAGCUUGUUCUCACCCCCCCCCCCCAGGAGUGCACGCCAGGAACCAGAGGCUGGAGCCAGUUCACAGGCUCCUGCGGGUUCCACAGCUGUAUUGGGGUAUGUCUGCCUGUCACCCAAUGCAGGGGUGAGUGAGACCCUUCCUGAGUGCCUUGGGGUACGGUGCUGGGUACCACAGCUUGCACAGAGGCUCUUCUAUUCAUGCCUAGAUGCCAAACUUUAGAAGUUAAAGACGGGGGAGUAUGACUGAUGCCGUAUGCCACCAUAGCAUCACCCUCUGCCUCCCGAGACUGAGAUAAGCAUAACUGGUUCCUAUUUGAGGGAGCGGCAGGCGUGUGAUCCUGGGGCAACAGCUUUGGUGCCGAAAAGGAAAGCUGCUUUUAACCAGAGUGCUUACAGUUUGGUGGACUCAGCGUCCCCUCCAAAAAUCCAUCUCCAAAGAUUCUGUUCAGCCAUGAAAGCUUUGAAGGAACGUGAAGGAAUGAUCCCAGUUAAUCAGUGAGACAGGCGGUCAGAGGCGUUGCCGUCCCCCAGUGCCUGCAGGCUUGUCCUCAACUCCAGGAGGCUGCUCUUUUCUGACUCCUGGAGGCCUGGGAGACGCCGGCUGCUCUAAGAACAAGA